rnacentral:lncRNA from 1 species
CUGUAUACUUUUACAUGAAGCCAUUAGAUGAUACAAGUUGUAGAAGACUUAAAGAAGAAAUUUGAAAACCCCCUACCUGGGCGAGAGAUCUUAGGGCACCCUUUGUCUUCUGUUGAGCUCCUUGUUCAUCCAGGUACUGUCUCUCAACAGAAGAGAAGAAGUCUCUCAGAAACUUCACUGUGGACUUGAGAUUCUCUGCCACAGACGAAGCAGAAGUCACCAAUUGUGAAGGUCUGGUUCGAAUGACUGCUAAGGGAGGGCACUG